AAGUCGAACGGACGAUGAAAAGCUUGCUUUUCAAAGUUAGUGGCGGACGGGUGAGUAACGCGUGGGUAACCUGCCUCAUACAGGGGGAUAGCAGCUGGAAACGGCUGAUAAAACCGCAUAAGCGCACAGCAUCGCAUGAUGCAGUGUGAAAAACUCCGGUGGUAUGAGAUGGACCCGCGUCUGAUUAGCUGGUUGGUGAGGUAACGGCCCACCAAGGCGACGAUCAGUAGCCGGCCUGAGAGGGUGACCGGCCACAUUGGGACUGAGACACGGCCCAAACUCCUACGGGAGGCAGCAGUGGGGAAUAUUGCACAAUGGGGGAAACCCUGAUGCAGCGACGCCGCGUGAAGGAAGAAGUAUCUCGGUAUGUAAACUUCUAUCAGCAGGGAAGAUAAUGACGGUACCUGACUAAGAAGCCCCGGCUAACUACGUGCCAGCAGCCGCGGUAAUACGUAGGGGGCAAGCGUUAUCCGGAUUUACUGGGUGUAAAGGGAGCGUAGGCGGCGGAGCAAGUCAGAAGUGAAAGCCCGGGGCUCAACCCCGGGACGGCUUUUGAAACUGCCCUGCUUGAUUUCAGGAGAGGUAAGCGGAAUUCCUAGUGUAGCGGUGAAAUGCGUAGAUAUUAGGAGGAACACCAGU
rnacentral:rRNA from 1 species